UACGGAGGGAGCUAGCGUUGUUCGGAAUUACUGGGCGUAAAGCGCACGUAGGCGGCUUUGUAAGUUAGAGGUGAAAGCCCGGGGCUCAACCUCGGAAUUGCCUUUAAGACUGCGUCGCUUGAAUCCGGGAGAGGUGAGUGGAAUUCCGAGUGUAGAGGUGAAAUUCGUAGAUAUUCGGAAGAACACCAGUGGCGAAGGCGGCUCACUGGACCGGCAUUGACGCUGAGGUGCGAAAGCGUGGGGAGCAAACAGG
rnacentral:rRNA from 1 species